AGAGUUUGAUCAUGGCUCAGGAUGAACGCUAGCGGGAGGCUUAAUACAUGCAAGUCGAGCGGCAAGGUCUUCGGACCCUAGAGCGGCGCACGGGUGAGUAACGCGUACGCAAUCUGCCCUUCAGUGAGGAAUAGCCCUGAGAAACUGGGAUUAAUACCUCAUAAUAUUGUUUGUUCGCAUGGAUAGACAAUUAAAGUUCUGGCGCUGAAGGAUGAGCGUGCGUCUGAUUAGCUAGUUGGUAGGGUAACGGCCUACCAAGGCUACGAUCAGUAGGGGGCGUGAGAGCGUGACCCCCCACACGGGUACUGAGACACGGACCCGACUCCUACGGGAGGCAGCAGUAAGGAAUAUUGGGCAAUGGAGGCAACUCUGACCCAGCCAUCCCGCGUGAAGGAUUAAGGCCCUAUGGGUUGUAAACUUCUUUUGCUUGGGAAGAAAUCUGGACAUUUAUGUGCAGUUGACGGUACCUUGCGAAUAAGCACCGGCUAACUCCGUGCCAGCAGCCGCGGUAAUACGGAGGGUGCAAGCGUUAUCCGGAAUCACCGGGUUUAAAGGGUGCGUAGGCGGUUUGAUAAGUCAGAGGUGAAAGCUAGCAGCUUAACUGUUAAAUUGCCUUUGAUACUGUCAGACUUGAAUCAGGUUGAGGUAGGCGGAAUGUGACAUGUAGCGGUGAAAUGCAUAGAUAUGUCAUAGAACACCAAUUGCGUAGGCAGCUUGCUGGGCUUGAAUUGACGCUGAGGCACGAAAGCGUGGGGAUCAAACAGGAUUAGAUACCCUGGUAGUCCACGCCCUAAACGAUGUUAACUCGAUAUUUAUUCUUCGGAGUGAGUGUCCAAGCGAAAGCGUUAAGUUAACCACCUGGGGAGUACGUUCGCAAGAAUGAAACUCAAAGGAAUUGACGG
rnacentral:rRNA from 1 species